CUUACCUUUUAAAAAUGAUUAGAAAAAAACAAAAACAGUAUAGCAUUUGGUAUACUGGUACUCUCUCGGGUGAAUUUAUUGCUUGUGAAGACAACAAUCUUUCAUUUGACUUUAUGACAAUUGUUGGCAUGCGAGAAAUAUUGUCUAAAUGAUGAACCUAUGAAACAGAUCUUGCAUUGUCAUCUGCACCUUGUUUAAAAAUCAAUUAUUAUUAAGAAUUGCAUUUAAAUGUCUUAAAAUAGUAAAACAUACUUUGUUUGCAUUCUCAGAGGAUGUCCCCUCUUUCUCUAGCGGACAAAUAGUGUAUUCCUUAUCUCUUGCAAUAUGUGCUUUUCGGUCUGUACUGUUCUCUUCAUCAAUCAUUUCAGACGCAGGUGUAGCCUGUGGCAUGCACGUGGUAUGGGUAGCAUGUGUGAUGACACCCGGGCUGCAAAGAUUUUGGGCCAAUCAGAAGAUAACCAGGUUUUAUCCGGAUGAACAGUGAAAUAAAUGACUUCAUCACUCAGCUUUAUCUCGAUUAGACAUCAAGAUUCACUCUCAGGGUGGAGUCAGCGGCUACAGCAAGAUUGGCUGAAUGGAUAAAUCACAUUUGCAGAGCUGAUCCAGAAUCUUAUUGGCCAAGUUUAUCU